AAGGAUGAGCAGGCUCUCUGCCAUCUGCCCACCAACUUUUCAAGUUACUUUUACCCACCUUCAAAAUUACAUCUGCUUUUAGCAAGAAUUACUGAUGUGAUAAAGAUGGGAGUGUUCACCAUGCAAGGGCAGGGGAUCCCCUGCUGCUCCACCAUCAGAUUUGGGACACCACCCCCCCCCCGGCCCCACCAGAGGGCAUCAGCUAUGCCUAGCAAUUACGCCCCCGUGGCUAAAUUAAACUCCCAUUGGCUAAAUUAGGCUCGAAGAGAGGGGCACCUGCUGCUAAGCUGUGUAUGUUGUCCCCUAGGACUCCCACCGUUUGCUGAGCUCCACAUGACAACAGCAGACGACAGGCCGCACUGAUCCCACCUGGCUUACAGGUGCUGUCACACAGACUAGAACAUUGGAGAAUUUCUGGAAGAUAUAAAGCGGAGGAGAUCAGAUUCGUGGUGAAACGCAAUAGAGCCAAUGGCCUGCAGGGUAAAGUCUGAGUGCAGCAUUCAGACUGAAGACAAAGAUGCACCGGGAGCCUCCAGAGCCAACACUGGCCCAAAGAGAGAAGCAGGGGCCCGCCCAGGUGACUGCCAGGCACUGUCAGCCACACUGACAGGGAGAGCGGCCCAGAUGAGAGGCCCAGGAAGGCACUCUGCCUUUGCAACGUCCUGGCCUGUCUCCAUGACCACAGGUGCCCAGUGGUGCCAGGGUUGCCAGACAGUGGUGGUUUAGUUGUGUGCAAGAACUACUCUGCACAGCAAGAAUGAUUGGUUGAGACUGACAGA
rnacentral:lncRNA from 1 species